GCAAGUUGGCAUUAUGUCACCUUUGUUCCUUGAGGUAUUCUCUAACUACUCACCAAUUUUCAUGAAAAUCAAUGAAGGUUCAACGAAAUCGGAGGCGAAAACCUUCAGUGAUUGCACUAGAAUAGACAGUCCAAUGUUUCUUCAGUAGUCUAGCAUGCCACACAGGGUUAAACGCUUUUUGAACAUAUUAAUUCUAUUAUCUUUUUUAUUAUAUUUAUAUAACCUUUAUCACAUUUUAUUUUUCUAAGCUGAAUUAUUACAUGAUAUCCAGACACUGAUAAGUGUCACGUUUUUAUUAAGAAAUCACGACAGAAAAAAGCAAACAAUUGUUACAGUUAAAAGCCAGUACUGUUAAUAAUUUCUACCUAACAAAAAGGAAAAAUUAAAGAUUAUGGUGUAAAGUUACUUCUAUUAGAGAAAAAACAAUAAAACCAAAAUAAGUUGUCAUGUUGUUUUCUGAUUAACUGCUUCUUCAACCACUACAAUUUAAAUAAUCUAAAAUGUACCAAAAAAAACAUGUCUACAAUUAAAAUAUAACAUUCUGAAAGGACUAUUUGAAAUUAAAACAAAAAUACAAAUAAAUACAGUUAGUCAUAUCAUAUUAUAAAGUGUACGUUUCUGCAUAAUUUUAAAUGAAUUGAAACAACUUUUUCGCAAGAAAAAUACACUUCAGAGAUAUGUAUUAAAAUAAGGUGUCAGUUUGAGAAAUAUUAAAAAUUUUCUUUGACUUAAUUCCCAACAAAAAUGUUAAAAAGCGUAGCGGAAAAUAUAUCGCAAUUAACUAAAAAUAAAUUAGUAUAAAAAGCAAACUAGUAUUUAGUUUUAAUAAUGAAACAAUCCUCUGCACAACCGUCACGACAUUCAGAACGCUAAAUCAGAGCAGUUUUGGAUAUCAAGUGCACCUUGUGUAUCAGUGAAUGUUGAUAAAUGUAUGAAACUAGAACUGCAGUUGCAUUUAACCUUUUCAGCUCCAGUGACGCGUGUGCGCUUCUAAAUAUGACUAUAGAUUAGUGCAGUGGACGCGUAAGCGCGUCCACGGCACGUAAGUAUUCAAACGAAAUGAUUUCUCCCGGCACAUUAGCUGAGAUUAUAAAUAUUACAGCGGAGUUAAAAGGGUUAAUCUUGAACUUGAUCCUACCUAACAUACCCUUGAUGAUUUAAUUAACAUUUAAACAGGCGUUUGUAUGAUUCUCCACCACUGCUCUGACCUUACCGCUAUUUACAGGAAUUGCUAUAGUACAGUACUUUCAUCAGUUUCCAAUAUUUUUAUAUAUCUCUCUUCUCUCUACUGUGUAAUCUCUCUCCAAGGCUAGAUGUGUCAAGUGUCUACUAGCACACCAGUAAAAAUAUCUCUAAGCUAUAAAAAUCCUAUAUCCUGACUUGCAGUAACCCAGGCUAUUUUUGACAAUUUCCUUUUGCGACGUUGAUAAAGAUUGUACAAACGAUUAUUGUUCAAAUUAUAGAAUAUAUCACUAUUAAUAAUUAUAAAUGUAGUACUAAAUAAAAAAGCUCUAGUAAGCAAUUGAUAUCGUUUAGUGGUUAAGCUGGAUUAUAUAGACAAAUUUGAAAUUAAGUGCUGUGAAUUCUAUAUUAUAAUAAUGUUAUUUGGCCUUGUAGACUUUUCCACAUCUCGAUCUGGAAGAUCAUUGGUGUAUGCGUAGUAGAAUCCAUGCAAACAGGGUCUCUGUUGAUGAUAGUUAUCAGAUCCUUCUUUGGCCAAGAGGUUUGCAAGAUGUCAACAAGUGAUCGACAAUGACCAGAGGAUUGUAAGAAGUGGUUGCUUAUCUCUACAUCUCCUUUUCCACAGAAAAAUUAAUCGACAGAUUAAAUUAAUGACCAGAGAGCAGGUAGAUGAAGAAAGUGCUGAAUGAAGAAAAGAAGCUACCAUGUAUGCUAAGUGAAAAACGAAUCACUUAUCUCUUGAUCUUUUCUUUUCCACACAACUACAAAGACUAAGCUCGACAACAUUUGUCUAGGCAAUCCAAUACUCACAGACUUCGAUCAGCCUGUACAAGCACAAAGAAUAGGUGAAGCAAUGGGUUCUGCAUUCACCACACAGUAAAUCUUCUGUUCAUUGAAAAUCAUCACUUCAGGCACAAAAGAUUAAUUAUGCACUCGACAUACAAACUGGCCUCUUCUGGUUAUUCAGCACUUCUUCAUCUACCCUCUGGUCAUUGUCGAUCACUUCUAAGGAAAAGAAGAGAUGUAGAGAUAAGCGACCACUCCUUACAACUGUAUGGUCAUUGUAGAUCAUUUCUUGGACUUAUUGUAACAUUCAAAGUCAAAGAAGGCUGGGAGACCCUGAUGGCAUAGUUAGCUGAGUGGUCUAGAACCCUGCUUGUUCUACUACUUGUAUAACAUAUGCAUACUUGGAGAGGCUUUAGCGACUGCUGAUGAGCUUCUUUUGGAUACAAAUAAAGUGUUCAGUUACAUUCCAAUAGUAGAAACGAUGUUGAAAUUGACCAUGUUGAAUGAUUUAUAAUUUUGAAUCAUAUUCUAAAACUUUUUGAUCACUCCUCGCAUAUGGCAAAAUAACGCAAAAGACGGAAAACAUAUGUUGUGAAAUAAAAAGAGAUGAAACUGGUAGAGGUGGGAAAUUAGCAAUAGAAACGUAUAAAUUUACAAUAUAUUGGCAGUUUGUCUAUAAAUAUCUUGUAAUCACCCAUUUCGAAAAGGUCCAUUAAUUAAAACUUCAGUUCAGUUUUAUUGGAAGGAGAGUUUCAUAAGUUUUAUGUUGACUUGUUGUAUACAGUGAUGAGCUCAAUAAGAACCGGCAAAAUACGGAAAACAUAAUACGUUGUGGAAUAUAAAAAGAGGUGAAACUAGUAGAGGUGGAAAAUUAUCAAUCAAAACUUAUAAAUUUACAUUAUAUUGAUAGUUUCCCAUCUUUAGAUGUAUCUGAGGAGUUUGGCAAUUAACACUGUGACUGGAGAAUUUUUGUGACAGUUUUAAUUAACAUACUCCUCCGAUAUGUCUACAGCAAGCUGAGAAACUACCAAUAUAUUGUAAAUUUAUACGUUUCUAUUGCUAAUUUCCCGCCUCUACCAGUUUGAUGUCUUUCUAUUUCACAACGUAUUAUGUUUUCCGUCUUUUGCCGGUUCUUGCAGUCAUGUAAAACGCGUCAAGAAAUAAUAUGGCACCAAAAAGUGAUAUUUAAAAAAAGUAUGCUCUUUUCGAAAUGACGGGUUCAAUUGUAAUUCCAUGUUAUCUAGCCAAAAUAAACAAAAAAGUCAAUGAAUAUUGAUAAGAAUGUUGGUAUGUAAAUUUAUAAAAAUAUUGACAUUCCAUUAACCUUAUAUCAACGUGUAUUUACCAGUUUCAUGAAUUCAUAACAACAAGCAAAUAACGAAAAUAGCAUAAUCAAUUUUGAAAUAUUUAAAACAACUAUUUAUAUUACUAUGAAUUAUAAGUGAAAAACGAUAAGAACACUAAAUAAAUUGCCUUCAAUUUUAUAAUACUAAGAGCGAAAACAAUUAGCAAAUAUUACUCUCAAUUUAUAUUUAUUAUACAUAGAUAAAGCAGGUUUUAAAGAGCCCUAAUUGAGAAUUGAGAAGUUAUACACCAGAAAUAUAAGCUAGCCAAGCUAGUUAAGCACCAAUAUGAUUCAAUAGCAACAAUAUAAUUCAAUAGCGCCAAUACAGAAAAAGGCUAAGGAAGCGUUUUAAUAUUACAACAAAUGAAAAUAAGUUAAAAUGAUCAAGAGUCGAAAGAUUGGACACAUUCCCAAUGGAAUGCAAUAAAAUUCAUGCAAUGAGUCCAGAUUUAAAGCGUAUGUUGGAAACAGUAGAAGUCGCGUUAUUGGCAGGGAAAAAAAGUUAAAUUUCCUGCAUGUGGCAUAUUGUCUAAAUGUUUUGAGAAAGUUGUAUUUUAUCGAUGAAAUUGUUUUUAAACGAUAUAUUGAUUAUAGAACAAAGUUUAA
rnacentral:lncRNA from 1 species